rnacentral:rRNA from 1 species
UAAUCCUGAUCAUAUGAUUCUCCCCGAAAAUAAAAGAUCUACGCUUUCACUUUAUUUUAGAAAUGAUUAUAUAAUGUUGCAUUAUUAUAAUAAAAGGAUAGCGUAGGGGUGAAACACUUUCAAUUUUAUUGAUAUCUGGAUAAAACCUAUAUGAAUUUAGUUCAUAAGAUAGCCAUAAAGUUAUAAGAUUUUAUGGGGGUAGAAUAGUAAUAAUUUUGUUUUAUCGGAAUAAAGUUCCUAACUAAACAUACUGUUAUUAAUUUAUGUUUGUUAGUAUCUUUUCAAUAGGUUUAUAGUUUCUAGAAAUUUAUUACACUAAAUUUAAUAAUGUUUAAAUUAGUAAAAGAUUUAAUAUAACUUAAGGAACUCGGCAAAUAUAGUUUUCAACUAGUUUAGCAAAAACAUAGCUUUAAGAAAUUUAAUAUAUUUAAAGUUAAAUCUGCCCAGUGAUAGAUAUUUAACGGCCGCAGUACACUGACUGUGCUAAGGUAGCAUAAUAAAUUGACUUUUAAUUGGAGUCGGGUAUGAAUGGAUAAUUGAGAACUUCCUGUCUCAAGUUAUUUAUAUUUAAUUUACUUAAAAGGUGCAAAUUCCUUUAUAUUUAUAUGUAAGACGAGAAGACCCUAAGAAUUAUAGUUAAGAAGUUUAUACAACUUAAAAUUUUUGUUGGGGCAACAAAUUUGGUGAACCAAAUUAUAAUAAUAUUUAUGAACAAAAAAUGAUUUUAUAAAAUGAGAUAAAUUACCUUAGGGAUAACAGCAUAAUUAAUUAACUAGAUUGUGACCUCGAUGUUGGACUAAGGACUUAAUUAAAUAGCCUUUAAUGAAGAUAGUUCUGUUCGAACUGAAAACCUUA